rnacentral:rRNA from 1 species
AGAGUUUGAUCCUGGCUCAGGACGAACGCUGGCGGCGUGCUUAAUGCAUGCAAGUCGGAUGCUAAGGUUGGUUUCGGCUGGUUAGUCGCCUGGCGAACGGGGGAUGAACACUUACUUAACCUGACCCGAGAUGGGGGAUAGUCUCUCGAAAGAGGGUUGAAUACCGAUGAGGCUCCUAUGGUGGAAGGCUAUAGCACUAAAGUUGGCCUCUUGCGAGCCAGCUGAUGUCAUGCGAGGGGGGUGCCUCCUAUUAGCUAGAUGGUAAGGUAAUGGCCUACCACGGCGACCAUGGGUGGCUGGUCUGAGAGGAUGAUCCUCCUCCCUGAGACUGAGACACGGCCCAUUACUCCUACGGGAGGCAGCCUGUGGGGAAUUUUGCGCAAUGGGCGCAAGCCUGACCCAGCAACGCCGCUUGAUUGAAGACGCCUUUCAGGGUGUAAAGCUCUGUCAGAGGGGACGAAUGUCUGGUGAUGAACAGUUAUCAUGCGUGACAGUACCUGCGCAUGAUCCCCCAGUUAAGUCCGUGCCAGCCACCACGCUAAUACGGAAGUUGCGAGCGUUGUUCUCAAUCUCUGCGCGUAAAACCCGCGUAAUACUGCGUGCCUAGUGCGGAAUGAAAGCCCACUGCUUAUCCGGGAAAAGGGCUUCACAUGACUGGUAUGCUUGAGUGAACAGACGAUGGAGGCGGAAUUCCUGGUG